rnacentral:rRNA from 1 species
AUACGAAAGGUGCAAGCGUUGUUCGGAUUUACUGGGCGUAAAGAGAGUGUAGGUUGUUUAUUAAGUCGGAUGUGAAAUCCCGGGGCUCAGCCUCGGAACUGCAUUCGAUACUGGUAGACUAGAGUUCGGGAGGGGUAAGCGGAAUUCCGUGUGUAGCAGUGAAAUGCGUAGAUAUACGGAGGAACACCUGAGGCGAAGGCGGCUUACUGGACCGAUACUGACACUGAGACUCGAAAGCGUGGGUAGCAAACAGGAUUAGAUACCCUAGUAGUCC